GAGACAGAGUCUCACUCUGUCACCCAGGCUGGAGUGCAGUGGCGUGAUCUCAGCUCACUGCAACCUCUGCCUCCCAGCCUGGGCAACAGAGCAAGACUCCAUCUCAGAAAACAAAACAAAACAAAACAAAAAAACAAAAAUCAGCCGGAUGUGGUGGCGCACACCUGUAAUCCCACUCGGGUGGCUGAGGCAGGAGAAUCUCUUAAGCCCAGGAGGCGGAGGCUGCAGUGAGCCAAGAUGGCGCCACUGCACUCCAGCCUGGGCAACAGAGUGAGACUCUGUGUCAAAAAAAAAAAAAACAAAAACAAAAAACAGAACAAAAAAAAAGUAACAUUCAAAUCAUUAAAUUAGAUCAGGUAAGCCAGAAUUAAAAACAAACCAACCUCAUUCUUAAUUAGUACAAGUUUCUGCAGGCUUAAUCAAAUUUAGUAAAAGUUUUUUCCUUAUUUAUAAAAUAAUUGUAGAAAAUGUCUGAACUAUAAAGAGACAAAUUAUGUGUAAUACCACUGAGCAGAAAUUGGAGUGUUAAAUUGUUCACUUUUUGUUUGCUGCUAAGAGACCUAGAAUUAGAUUGAUCAUAAUCCUUGGUUCAUGGCAGUAUAAUUUUUUAUUCAUGCAUGGUUGUCUCUUUUUUUGAUUGUUAAUUACUUUAAACAUUAUAAACAUCAUACCAACUAAUCCUAUAACUAUAACAUUACCAAUCACUAAUACCUACUUACAUGCUUUUCCCCAUCCCAGUCUCAACAUUGGUAUUAGUGAGUAGACAGAAUUGAUUUUUUUUUUGAAUGGGUGAGCCUUAUAUACAAUACCUAUCAAGAUAUUUAGUUUAGUUAAGUCGUUAAGAACUAGUGAUUACUGAGUGCGUAUUUUUUGCCAACCUCCUAAAUUUUUGUUAAUACAGUGACUUGUUUUAUAGAAAUGAUUUAUAGUUGCUAUGAAUGGUCAAGCAAUGCAGAGUAGAA
rnacentral:lncRNA from 1 species